rnacentral:rRNA from 1 species
UACGUAGGGUGCUAGCGUUAAUCGGAAUUACUGGGCGUAAAGCGUGCGCAGGCGGUGAUGUAAGACCGAUGUGAAAUCCCCGGGCUUAACCUGGGAACUGCAUUGGUGACUGCAUCGCUCGAGUAUGGCAGAGGGGGGUAGAAUUCCACGUGUAGCAGUGAAAUGCGUAGAGAUGUGGAGGAAUACCGAUGGCGAAGGCAGCCCCCUGGGUCAAUACUGACGCUCAUGCACGAAAGCGUGGGGAGCAAACAGG